rnacentral:snRNA from 1 species
GUACCUAUCUGUCAGGGAAGAUAACAUGAUCAAGGUGUUCCCCCCAUCCCCACCGCCAAAGUGAGACUUACCUGUUGCACUUGAGAUGUGCUGACUCUUGCAAUUUCCCCUAAUGCGGGAAAUUCAUCUGCAUAAUUUGUGGUAGUGGGGAACUACAUUUACACUCUUCCCUG